rnacentral:rRNA from 1 species
CCUACGGGGUGCAGCAGUGAGGAAUAUUGGUCAAUGGGCGCGAGCCUGAACCAGCCAAGUCGCGUGAGGGAAGACGGCCCUACGGGUUGUAAACCUCUUUUGCCGGGGAGCAACGGGCGCCACGUGUGGCGCCACUGAGAGUACCCGGAGAAAAAGCAUCGGCUAACUCCGUGCCAGCAGCCGCGGUAAUACGGAGGAUCCGAGCGUUCUCCGGAUUUAUUGGGUUUAAAGGGAGCGUAGGUGGAUUGUUAAGUCCGUUGUGAAAGUUUGCGGCUCAACCGUAAUAUUGCAGUUGAAACUGUCAGUCUUGAGUACAGUAGAGGCGGGCGGAAUUCGUGGUGUAGCGGUGAAAUGCUUAGAUAUCACGAAGAACUCCGAUUGCGAAGGCAGCUCACUGGACUGCAACUGACACUGAGGCUCGAAAGUGUGGGUAUCAAACAGGAUUAGAUACCCCUGUAGUC